rnacentral:rRNA from 1 species
ACGGAAGGUAGACAGCGGGAAAGGAGCUUCGGCUCCGCGACGGGAUCGGUCUGCGGCCCAUCAGCUAGACGGCGGGGUAAAGGCCCGCCGUGGCGAGGACGGGUAUCCGGCCUGAGAGGGCGGACGGACACAUUGGGACUGAGAUACGGCCCAGACUCCUACGGGAGGCAGCAGGUAAGAAUAUUCCGCAAUGGGGGGAACCCUGACGGAGCGACGCCGCGUGAACGAAGAUAGGCCGGAAGGUUGUAAAGUUCUUUUCUGUCCGAGGGAUAAGUUUUCGGAGGAAAUUUCCUGGGAACGGGGGGCGGUAAGGGCAAGGAAUAAA